rnacentral:rRNA from 1 species
GACGAACGCUGGCGGUGUGCUUAACACAUGCAAGUCGAACGGUAAGGCCCUUUCGGGGGUACACGAGUGGCGAACGGGUGCGUAACACGUGAGUAACCUGCCCUCAUCUCUGGGAUAACGAUCGGAAACGGUUGCUAAUACUGGUACUGAGCUUGCAAGGCAUCUUGUGGGUUGGAAAGAUUUUUUUCGGUUGGGGAUGGAGUCGCGGCGUAUCCGCUUGUUGUUGAGGUAGUGGCUCACCAAGGCUUCGACGGGUAGCCGGCCCGAGAGGGCGGCGGGACACAUUGGACUCGUGCGACAGGCAAAAGUCCGGCGGGAGGCAGAAGGGGGGAAUAUUGGACAAUGGACGGAAGUCUGAGGCAGCAAGGCCGCGGGAGGGAUGACGGCCGUUGGGUGGUAAACCGCUAUCAAUUGGGACGAAGCUAUUUUGUGACGGUAGCAGUAGAAGAAGCAACGGCUAACUACGUG